rnacentral:tRNA from 1 species
GUCGCCGUAGACCAAUGGCAGAGUCAGUGGUUCGAGAAGCCACGUAGUGGAGGUUCGAAUCCUCUCGGCGGCA